rnacentral:sRNA from 1 species
UAUUUGUUAUUUUGUCUCCCCCAGGACUCUUCGAUGUGGGAAGCCCAGUAACAAUAGUUUUCAACUCCUCCAACCGAAAGAAGUAGCGCGCAUUGUCAGUACGUCCAGGUUGCAGUCGUCAAAGUUAUUGGAGAAGCGGUCUUCAAGGUGUGCGGCAAAAACCUCAGCUUUCUCCUGUGCCGUCUUCGUCCAAGAGGUGCCGGUCGUCCUUCUGCUGGUGGUCGUCAUGGGAGCGCCUGUUGAGGUCUUAAGGGGAUAAUUUGAGGGAGGCUGACGCUUGAGUUUCCUUGUUAUCCUCCAGAUUCUCGUCAUUAUGUAUCGGUCGUCAGGGUUCAGACGAGCAAGUUGCCCACCAACGCAGUUUUCUCUUGCUCUUUUGAUAGCCUUUGUCAGUUUGUUUUUGAGCCUGGAGGCUUUUCUUUUGUUGUCGUCAGUCUUAUUUCUCUUCAAUUUCUUUUUGCAGGACUCAUAUUGCGCUAUGAGGAUUUUAGUGCGGAGAUCAAGUUUGAGUUUUGGCUUGGAAUUGUGUCCCUUAUUAUUAUGUGCACCGGUGGAGGGAGUGGCAUGCUUUCCAAGUGCUUCACCAAUUUUACGGCUCCUUUCAAGUGUAACUUGGAACUCCCUGAUUCCCUGGUUGCUACGGGGAGGAUAGAGGGGCCAACUCGGACUGGAGGAGGGAAUUGCUGCUGGAGGACUCAGCGGAGUACGCCCACUUGCUACCUCAAUCAGAAGGAGAAGGUGAUCCGAGGAAAGCGCGUCCAGUGAGGAGAUUCUAAUGUUUUUUUUUUUAAUUU